GGCGGCGUAGCUCAGCCCGGUAGAGCAGGGGACUCAUAAGCCCUUGGUCGGUGGUUCAAAUCCACUCGCCGCUA
rnacentral:tRNA from 1 species